rnacentral:rRNA from 1 species
GAGCUCGUAGGCGGUUUGUCGCGUCUGCUGUGAAAUCCCGAGGCUCAACCUCGGGCCUGCAGUGGGUACGGGCAGACUAGAGUGCGGUAGGGGAGAUUGGAAUUCCUGGUGUAGCGGUGGAAUGCGCAGAUAUCAGGAGGAACACCGAUGGCGAAGGCAGAUCUCUGGGCCGUAACUGACGCUGAGGAGCGAAAGGGUGGGGAGCAAACAGGAUUAGAAACCCUNGUAGUC